UUAACUGAAUCCUUAAAUGUUUGAUAUUUAGAGUCUGUAAACAGGAAAUGUUUUGAUCCGAACACCAGCUCUCGCUACAACCAUGAGUUUAAUGCAGUUGGUUCUUGUUUUAAAAUGUUCAUGCUGAAGAGCCUCAGAGUAGCAAAAGAGCUGAAAAUGAGACCAGUGAAAUUACUGACACAUCAAGCCAAAAAGCAACUAAAAAUGGGUAAAAAUAGCUUUGUGGUCAAGUCAUUGGACUAAAGGAUGUGAGUUCAAAUCCCAGCCACACAAAUCUCCUAACCACAUUGCUGCUCUGUUGUAUCAACAAGGGAAACUUUUAUUAACAAUUCAUUCAUUUUUCUGACCUUUGAUAAGAUCCGAUCCCAUUCUGAUGCAUUGAUUUGUUGUAACAAAUUAGUCCUAAUAACUACUGAAUUCAUAAAGAUUUCGUGCAGGUGAAUGUUCAGGUUGAUGGUUUAGGGUGUAAUGAUUACAUGAAGCCUGUAGAUGGCAGUACAGGUUAACAUUUAUUGUAACUUAAAUUAUGCACUCUAAGUUCACACACGUGCUGCUGUUUGCUACCUGCUAGAUUUAUUGCUUUAAUUUCCUAAAUGACUAAUAAAUUGGUUAAAAAAAAAUGGAUACGGGUUCUAAUCUAGGGGUCAGUUACAAUCUGUAAAACCUCAGUACUAAUUUUAUUUUUUUUAAUCUCUGUUUUAAUGAAGGAGAAAUUACAGGUAAUUACAGUUGCAGACAUUUACAAAUAUUAUCUGGGGAAAAGGCUAGUGUUUAAUCUUUCUUGUUACUAAAUAUAAUAGUGUGAUUCUGACAAAAGUUUGAAAUAUCAAACCAUUUCAAAACCAUCUAUUCAAGAAUCAUGUUGCCCUUAAUGAUAUCUUAUUUUUUUAACAUUGCCUUGGCUGAUUCUUUUGUUUCUUUUUGUACCAAAGAAUCAAGAGAUAACACUGAUCUCAGUAGUGUUCCAGUUAAAAUAAGUAAAAGAAAGAGAGUGAGAAAAGAAAUAAAUGGGUUGUGCUGAGGUUCUCCUCUGCCCUAAAUACAUAAAUAAAUCAUAAUAGCCUCUUUCAAGACGUUAUGAUCUUAUUGCUGAUUUGUGCACUCUUUCUGCUUAUAAAUAAAUAUCAUAAACCAAAUAAAGAAAUAAACUGGUUGUGGAUCCGCAGUCCCACUCGUGUCCUCAGUCUGUCCCGAGUCACAUGAUUCGGUGUGGUAAUUAAAUUCCCCACCCGGUUGCUAUGUUUACUGCGUUUCCAAAGACAAAGAGUGAAUUCUUUAUCAAAAUAUUUGUGUGUCACAAGAUGUAGUCAAGGUCAAAUAAAUGUGGGUAUGAUGGUGAAAGGGGACUGGAGGAAGGAGUUUAUUUUUAAGUGCAUGUAGAAAUAACUGGCAACUUCAAAUGAGCACAUAUCUGAUGUUGCUUCAUUCCUGUAUGAGAAGCUGAUGUGAGACACAGAGCACUGUCUGCGUCUAAUAAGAGGACGUCCAAGUAGUCCACUGUGUGUGUGUGUGUGUGUGUGUGUGUGUGUGUGUGUCAUGAUGACUUUAAUCACUGCUGAUGUUAAAUUCUGUGUACUUGAACUAAAGGUCUGGAACAGCGCGUGGUUAUAACCAGCAUUUUUCUGUCUUUAUUUAUUUAUAGAAUGAAGAAUAAAGUUGAAUAGGAGCUCCCUUAGAUCCUUACAUUAGUACAUUUAUUGUUUUGUAUUUCACUCAUAAAUAACUUUCAUUUCUCUUAGUUUUGAUGUGUGAAUUGUAAAAAAAAAAAAUCACUCAUUUCCAGUUUGUAAUUAAUUUUAAUGUGGUUUUUGAUUCUUGGCUUAAAUAUAUAAAGGCUCGUUAUUUGUAAAUGUGUGUAUGACGUGGUAGAACGUUGGAGGUGCACAGUUGUAUAGCACGUCUUCGAAUGAGCUAGCAUUAUAUUUUCCAUUGACUUGAAUUAAAAGACCCAAACUUGUUCCAUUAUGAAAAUGCUCCUGUGCUGAAAAAAAAGCACAGAUUAUAGCAGCAGGCAAAAAUAACCGAUUAAGAUGGACUUGAAUAAGAGCAAGAACAUCGAACUUCUUACUCAUCGAUGUUGUUCUGCUUUUCCUUUACGUUUCACAUGAUCCUCAGGCUGAUGAAUCAUCCAGAUGAAAUCUACAUCUGGAUUUCUGUUAAAGCUGUUGGGACGUUAAAAAGCGUUUGUGCAGAAGUUAAACCCACAAAAUUACCACUUUACAGCUCCACACAAUUACUUUAUGACUCUGCAGGAUGCACUGACUGAGAGUCGCCGAGGUCACACCAGAUAUGUCUGAAAAUAAACUAGAGGAACCAGGAGAACCAGAGCUGGAAAGUAGAAUUAGAAACGUGCUGGAGACUCGAAGCUGAUUUAAUUCAAAAGAAGCACGGGUUAAAUUAUCGUGGGCUGGAGAAAUCAGAAAGAAGAAAACAAACAUUCUAAAAGCAUUUGGAUAAAUAUAUAGCACAUAAAGAGUCUAGAAAAGGGGGCGGGGCUAGAAGCAGAUCACUAAGUGUAAUAGCCUGAAAAUGGGCGGGGCUAGAAGCAGAUCACUGUAUAAAUAAGUAAGAGUUACACAGGGUGUUUAUCCAAACAUAAACCUCAGCAUGUUUGUCGAGUUUUUGCAGCACAGGAGGCUUUAUAAACAUUAAUAAUGAGAUGCAGAAAUAGAAAAGGGUAAACGUGUAAUCUUUUGUGUGUGAAUGCUCAUUAAUGUGGAGUAGAUGCUUUGGUCCUGCUGGUGGCGCUGGGCCUGUGAAAUCCUGUUUAUCAUUAUAUUAUCAUUAAUCAUAUACAUUGAUUGACUGUAGCUCAUGGCUUCAGAGAGAUGUGUAAGCACUUCCUAAAAAGAGAAGUAAUGGGCGUUGCCUGACAUGCGCAACAUGGAAAAUAUAUGUAAAAAUACGACCAAUCACAGGUUUGAUUGUGUCACAUGGAGUUCCCACAGUUAAUGUGAACAGUGAAGAGAUAAAAAAUUGUCUGCCACACCCAUUUGCUCUGCAGCUACAUUUCCUGUUGACGUUCAUGAAUUCUUAUUCAAGAGCAUGUGACAAAAACCCAAGAAUUUUUUAAUGUUUUAAAUAUUUUAGCUGAAAUCUGAUAAAAUAAGGACAUGCGCGUUAGAUUUGGGUGUAGUUUGCGUUAGGAAAUUGUAGCACCUCUUGUUCGUAGCUUCGCACGUCGUCAUUUUGGAGUGUCACAAUUUGUGUACCGCCCACCUGCACACAGGCCACGCCCCCUGGCAUUGCAGCUGUGUGUUGAUGAUAAUAUUGAUUUUACACUUCAUUUAAAUCAGGUGUCUGUUUGUUUAAUUUUGGCCUCCGCACUAUAGCAGAAUUGUGUGUGUGUGUGUGUGUGUGUGUGUGUGUGUGUGUGUGUGUGUGUGUGUGUAAAUUAAGUGCAUUUUAUAAGCAUGCAUUCAGAUCCCUAAGUACAAGCGUUUACUUGUGACUAAUGCAGCUGAAGAAAAGAAUUUGUGUGUGUGUGUGUGUGUGUGUGUGUGUGUGUGUGUGUGUGUGUGUGUGUGUUGAAAGACUCACACUGCAGGAAUUUAAGUUGUGUUAAAGUGGUGUGUGUGUGUGUAUCUUUGCUUGCCUUCUGCCUGAGGCCAAACUCUGUCUCAUGACCAAAACAGUCGAAGAGCAACCAGAGCGUCAGGCCGUGUGUGUGUGUGUGUGUGUGUGUGUGUGUGUGUGUGUGUGAUGGCUUUAGCGUCCCUAAAACCUCACAACUGACAAACUUUCAGUUCUGGUUUUAAGACCGGUUCUGAUUGUUUAUAGGUGCCAAUACUUACAGACGUUUCAUUCAUAAUUAUUUAAGACUUUCGAUGUGAUUCACUGAAGGGGAAAGGAUGCAGGAAUCUCUCUCUCUCUCUCUCUCUCUCUCUCUCUCUCUCUCUCUCUCUUUAAUCUGUU